rnacentral:rRNA from 1 species
UGUAGUCUCGCACAGAUGCAUAUCAAUAAGCGGAGGAAAAGAAACUAACAAGGAUUCCCCUAGUAACGGCGAGUGAAGCGGGAAGAGCUCAAAUUUGAAAUCUUAAAGGGUUUCCCUUUACGAAUUGUAGUUUAAAGAAGUGUUUUCUGUUGAGGUUUUGGUAAAAGUUCUUUGGAAUAGGACAUCAUAGAGGGUGAGAAUCCCGUAUUUGACCUUUACUUUCAACUUUGUGAUACACUUUCAAAGAGUCGGAUUGUUUGGGAAUGCAGUCCAAAAUGGGUGGUAAAUUUCAUCUAAAGCUAAAUACUGGCGAGAGACCGAUAGCGAACAAGUACCGUGAGGGAAAGAUGAAAAGAACUUUGAAAAGAGAGUUAAACAGUACGUGAAAUUGUCAAAAGGGAAGCGUUUGACACCAGUGUUGUUUUUCUGAAAAUCAAUUAAAGAACUGUUUAUGCUAAGUUGUUUAGACUUUAUCAGCUAACUGUUUAGUUUUGAGCUUUUCUUUAAUGCACUUUUCAGUUAACAAGUCAACAUCAAUUUCUUUUGCUGUAAAAAAGCUUGAGGAAGGUGGCUUGAGAUUCGUCUUAAGUGUUUAUAGCCUCUUGCCCAUGCAGUCGGAGAGAUUGAGGUCUGCAGCGUAGAUCCUUCGGGGCUAAAUGCAUUUGUGCUAAGUUAUAGCAUUUUAUAGACAACUUGUUGACUAUGAUUUGUCUUGUAGCUUACUCGCUUAUGUUAUUUUACCUACGCUUAGGAUGUUGAUCUGUAGUGCGUGCGC